rnacentral:rRNA from 1 species
AUUGAACGCUGGCGGCAGGCCUAACACAUGCAAGUCGAGCGGAGCGGCGGACGGGUGAGUAAUGCCUAGGAAUCUGCCUGGUAGUUGGGGAUAACGUCCGGUAACGGGCGCUAAUAUCGCAUACUAUCAGAUUAGCCUAGGUCGGAUUAGCUUGUUGGGGGGGUAAAGGCCUACCAAGGCGACGUUCCGUAACUGGUCUGGGAGGAGGAUCAGUCACCCUGGAACUGAGACACGGUCCAGACUCCUACGGAAGGCAGCAGUGGGGAAUAUUGGACAAUGGGCGAAAGCCUGAUCCAGACAUGCCGCGUGUUGGAGGAAGGUCUUCGGAUUGUAAAGGACUUUAAGUUGGGAGGCGUUACCAACAGAAUAAGCACCGGCUAACUUCGUGCCAGCAGCCGCGGUAAUUC